AGUGGCGCAAGGGUGCUUAACACGUGGGCAAUCUGCCGUGAAGCCUGGAAUAACUCGCUGAAAGGCGAGCUAAUGCCGGAUGUGAAAGUCGGGAGGCAUCUUUUGAUUUUCAAAGCUGGGGACCGCAAGGCCUGGCACUUCACGAUGAGCCCGCGGCCUAUCAGCUAGUUGGCGAGGUAACGGCUCACCAAGGCUAAGACGGGUAGCUGGUCUGAGAGGACGACCAGCCACACUGGAACUGAGACACGGUCCAGACACCUACGGGUGGCAGCAGUCGAGAAUUUUUCUCAAUGGGCGAAAGCCUGAAGGAGCGACGCCGCGUGGGGGAUGAAUGGCUUCGGCCCGUAAACCCCUGUCAUUUGCGAACAAAUUGGUUCAAUUAACACCUGAACCAUUGAUAGUAGCGGAAGAGGAAGGGACGGCUAACUCUGUGCCAGCAGCCGCGGUAAUACAGAGGUCCCAAGCGUUGUUCGGAUUCACUGGGCGUAAAGGGUGCGUAGGCGGUCGGGUAAGUCUGAUGUGAAGUCUCCAAGCUCAACUUGGAAACGGCAUUGGAUACUAUUCGGCUCGAGGAGUGGAGGGGAGACUGGAAUUCUCGGUGUAGCAGUGAAAUGCGUAGAUAUCGAGAGGAACACCAGUGGCGAAGGCGAGUCUCUGGACACUUCCUGACGCUGAGGCACGAAAGCCAGGGGAGCAAACGGGAUUAGAUACCCCGGUAGUCCUGGCCCUAAACGGUGCGCGUUUGCUGUGAGCGGAAUCGACCCCGUUCGUGGCGAAGCUAACGCGUUAAACGCGCCGCCUGGGAAGUACGGCCGCAAGGUUAAAACUCAAAGAAAUUGACGGGGGCCUGCACAAGCGGUGGAGUAUGUGGCUCAAUUCGA
rnacentral:rRNA from 1 species